rnacentral:rRNA from 1 species
GACGAACGCUGGCGGCGUGCUUAACACAUGCAAGUCGAACGGACAGGCCUGCUUUCCCUUGUGGUUUGCGGGUACUCGAGUGGCGAACGGGUGCGUAACACGUGAGUGAUUUGCCCCCAACUUGGGUAUAAGCCUGGGAAACUGGGUCUAAUUACCGAUUGGACUGCAGGGUGGUGCCUGUGGUGGAAAACGUUUUUCUAGUGGUUGGGGAUGAGCUCGCGGCUUAUCAGCUUGUUGGUGGGGCAAAGGCCUACCAAGGCGGCGACGGGUAGCCGGCGUGUGAGGGGGGACGGGCACAUUGAGACUGGGUUCCGGCCCAGACGGGAGCGAGAGGCAGGAGUGGGGAAGAAAGCACAAUGAGCGGAAGCCUGAUGCAGCGACGGAGCGUGGAAGAUGACGGCCUUCGAGUUGUAAACUCCUUGCGACCAAGAGAAAGCCACCUGGUUGGAAGGGUGGUGACGGUAGUUGAAGAAGAAGCACCGGCUAACUACGUG